ensembl:lncRNA
GAGCCAAGAGGGACGUGGCGCUCUGCGGCGCGGACUAGGAAGCCGCGCCCCUUCCUUCUCGGGCUUUCAUGGAGAAUCCUGUGGAGCAGGAUUUGGGUGGGUGAGGUGCUUACCCGCGACCGGGACAAAAAAACAGGUGUCUCCUCGCCCUCGGCCGCCGGUGCGCGCUGGCAGCGCCCAUACUGGUCAGGCGGUCAGGCGAUUUUCGCCCGCAGGCCUCCUUUGGGUCUAAUACCCCGGGCCUCCUCCUUGGCGGGAAUCUUACCUGUAUUUGUAAGCUCACCUACCCCGGUUUUGUUAUGCCGUGGGCCACUGUGGCUUGAUUGCUUUUUGUUUCACCUUCUCUCACACCCGUCUGCGGUAUCUUUCUUUUCUCCGCACCCUCCUUCUUAUAGAACUAAGACAUCUGCUCCACACCCAUCAUUUUAAAGAUGGGGGAACUGAUCCUCAAAGAUACUCGUGGCUCGAGGAUUAGAGAAACUUUUGGAGCCUCAAGGCUGGUUUCGACUGAGUCUGCUAAGGUCCCACAGGAUAUAACCUGGCCAAGUUCCUCAUUGCAUUUAGAAUGGAAGAGAGGGAGGCAGUAAUACUUAUAAGAAACA